rnacentral:rRNA from 1 species
UACGAAGGGGGCUAGCGUUGCUCGGAAUCACUGGGCGUAAAGGGUGCGUAGGCGGGUCUUUAAGUCAGGGGUGAAAUCCUGGAGCUCAACUCCAGAACUGCCUUCGAUACUGGAAGACUCGAGUCCGGGAGAGGUGAGUGGAACUGCGAGUGUAGAGGUGAAAUUCGUAGAUAUUCGCAAGAACACCAGUGGCGAAGGCGGCUCACUGGCCCGGUACUGACGCUGAGGUGCGAAAGCGUGGGGAGCAAACAGGG